rnacentral:rRNA from 1 species
GAUGAACGCUAGCUACAGGCUUAACACAUGCAAGUCGCGGGACGGGCGCACGGGUGAGGAACGCGUAUCCAACCUGCCCUGCACCACGGGAUAACCCGGCGAAAGUCGGACUAAUACCGUAUGGUGAGGGGGGGGGAUGCGUGCGAUUAGCUGGACGGCGGGGGAACGGCCCACCGUGGCUACGAUCGGUAGUGGUUCUGAGAGGAAGGUCCCCCACACUGGAACUGAGACACGGUCCAGACUCCUACGGGAGGCAGCAGUGAGGAAUAUUGGUCAAUGGGCGUAAGCCUGAACCAGCCAAGUAGCGUGCAGGACGACGGCCUAUGGGUUGUAAACUGCUUUUAUGCGGGGAUAGGUACCGCAUGAAUAAGGACCGGCUAAUUCCGUGCCAGCCGCCGCGGUAAUAC